rnacentral:rRNA from 1 species
GACGAACGCUGGCGGCGUGCUUAACACAUGCAAGUCGAACGGAAAGGCCCUGCUUUUGUGGGGUGCUCGAGUGGCGAACGGGUGAGUAACACGUGAGUAACCUGCCCUUGACUUUGGGAUAACUUCAGGAAACUGGGGCUAAUACCGGAUAGGAGCUCCUGCUGCAUGGUGGGGGUUGGAAAGUUUCGGCGGUUGGGGAUGGACUCGCGGCUUAUCAGCUUGUUGGUGGGGUAGUGGCUUACCAAGGCUUUGACGGGUAGCCGGCCUGAGAGGGUGACCGGCCACAUUGGGACUGAGAUACGGCCAAGACUCCUACGGGAGGCAGCAGUGGGGAAUAUUGCACAAGGGGCGGAAGCCUGAUGCAGCAACGCCGCGUGCGGGAUGACGGCCUUCGGGUUGUAAACCGCUUUCGCCUGUGACGAAGCGUGAGUGACGGUAAUGGGUAAAGAAGCACCGGCUAACUACGUG